rnacentral:rRNA from 1 species
GACGUAGGGCGCGAGCGUUGUCCGGAUUUAUUGGGCGUAAAGAGCUCGUAGGCGGUUUGUCGCGUCGUCCGUGAAAAACUCACAGCUUAACUGUGAGCUUGCGGUCGAUACGGGCAGGCUAGAGUUCGGUAGGGGGAGACUGGAAUUCCUGGUGUAGCGGUGAAAUGCGCAGAUAUCAGGAGGAACACCGGUGGCGAAGGCGGGUCUCUGGGCCGAUACUGACGCUGAGGAGCGGAAGCGUGGGGGAGCGAACAGG